rnacentral:rRNA from 1 species
CCUACGGGCGGCAGCAGUGGGGGAUAUUGCACAAUGGGGGGAACCCUGAUGCAGCGACGCCGCGUGGGUGAAGAAGCGCCUCGGCGCGUAAAGCCCUGUCAGCAGGGAAGAAAAUGACGGUACCUGAAGAAGAAGCCCCGGCUAACUACGUGCCAGCAGCCGCGGUAAUACGUAGGGGGCAAGCGUUAUCCGGAUUUACUGGGUGGAAAGGGAGCGUAGACGGUGCGCCAAGUCUGGAGUGAAAUGCCGCAGCUUAACUGCGGAACUGCUUUGGACACUGGCGAACUAGAGUGCGGGAGGGGUAAGCGGAAUUCCUAGUGUAGCGGUGAAAUGCGUAGAUAUUAGGAGGAACACCAGUGGCGAAGGCGGCUUACUGGACCGUAACUGACGUUGAGGCUCGAAAGCGUGGGGAGCAAACAGGAUUAGAUACCCGAGUAGUC